AGCUCGUGCCUUGAGGUGUACUGUUAAGUCAGCAAACGAGCGCAACCCUCAUCCUAUGUUGCUUUUUCAUAGGAGACUGCCGCCUCCAAGGCGGAGGAAGGUGGGGAUGACGUCAGAUCUGCGUGUCCUUUAUGCCUGGGGCGACACCCGUGCUACAAUGGCCGAUACAAAGGGCAGCAAAGCCGCGAGGUUAAGCAAAUCCCAAAAACUCGGUCUAAGUUCGGAUUGAAGUCUGCAACUCGACUUCAUGAAGCUGGAAUCGCUAGUAACCGUGAAUCAGCCACGUCACGGUGAAUAUGUUCCUGGGUCUUGUACUCACCGCCCGUCAACUCAUGAAAGGCAGGGGCACCUGAAGGACCAUUACUCUUCGGAGGUGGUACCACGGUGAAACUGCUGAUUGGGAGUAAGUCGUAACAAGGUAUCCGUAGGAGAACCUGCGGAUGGAACACUUCCUUACCAGGGAAUAG
rnacentral:rRNA from 1 species